AGGAAUCAAGAGUGAUGUCAGGACAAGCUCUGGUAUGUUUUUGACUCCUGAAGAAAGAAAAUACCCUACGAUACAUCUUUCUAUAUGGAUGGCUGGCGUGGAACAACAGCUACUACAAGUAUUUUCAUUGCUGCUUCGGUUACAGAUUGUCUUGAUGGCUAUAUUGCUCGCAAGAUGAAGUUAAAAUAUUCAUUUGGUGCGUUCUUAGAUCCCGUAGCUGACAAG